rnacentral:rRNA from 1 species
GACGAACGCUGGCGGCGUGCUUAACACAUGCAAGUCGAGCGGUAAGGCCCUUUCGGGGGUACGACGAGCGGCGAACGGGUGAGUAACACGUGGGUGACCUGCCCUCCAGCUCUGGGAGUAAGCCUGGGAAACCGGGUCUAAUACUGGAUAUGACUCCAUGACGCAUGUUGUGGGGUGGAAAGCCUUGUGCGGCUGAGGAUGGGCCCGCGGCCUAUCAGCUUGUUGGUGGGGUGANGGCCUACCAAGGCGACGACGGGUAGCCGGCCUGAGAGGGCGACCGGCCACACUGGGACUGAGACACGGCCCAGACUCCUACGGGAGGCAGCAGUGGGGAAUCUUGCGCAAUGGGCGAAAGCCUGACGCAGCGACGCCGCGUGAGGGAU